AUUGAACGCUGGCGGCAUGCCUUACACAUGCAAGUCGAACGGUAACAGGUCUUCGGAUGCUGACGAGUGGCGAACGGGUGAGUAAUACAUCGGAACGUGCCUAGUAGUGGGGGAUAACUACUCGAAAGAGUGGCUAAUACCGCAUGAGAUCUACGGAUGAAAGCAGGGGAUCGCAAGACCUUGUGCUACUAGAGCGGCCGAUGGCAGAUUAGGUAGUUGGUGGGAUAAAAACUUACCAAGCCGACGAUCUGUAGCUGGUCUGAGAGGACGAUCAGCCACACUGGGAAGGAGACACGGCCCAGACUCCUACGGGAGGCAGCAGUGGGGAAUUUUGGACAAUGGGCGCAAGCCUGAUCCAGCAAUGCCGCGUGCAGGAUGAAGGCCUUCGGGUUGUAAACUGCUUUUGUACGGAGCGAAAAGGCUCCCUCUAAUACAGGGGGCUCAUGACGGUACCGUAAGAAUAAGCACCGGCUAACUACGUGCCAGCAGCCGCCGCUGUAA
rnacentral:rRNA from 1 species